rnacentral:rRNA from 1 species
UACAGAGGUCUCAAGCGUUUGUUCGGAUUCAUUGGGCGUAAAGGGUGCGUAGGCGGCGCGGUAAGUCGGGUGUGAAAUCUCGGAGCUUAACUCCGAAACUGCAUUCGAUACUGCCGUGCUUGAGGACUGGAGAGGAGACUGGAAUUUACGGUGUAGCGGUGAAAUGCGUAGAUAUCGUAAGGAAGACCAGUGGCGAAGGCGACUCUUUGGCCUGUAACUGACGCUGAGGCGCGAAAGCGUGGGGAGCAAACAGG